AUUGAACGCUGGCGGCAGGCCUAACACAUGCAAGUCGAACGGAGUGGCGGACGGGUGAGUAAUGUCUGGGAAACUGCCUGCUGGAGGGGGAUAACUACUGGAAACGGUAGCUAAUACAGCCUACUAUCAGAUGAGCCUAGGUCGGAUUAGCUAGUUGGUGGGGUAAAGGCCUACCAAGGCGACGAUCCGUAACUGGUCUGAGAGGAGGAUCAGGUACACUGAAACUGAGACACGGUCCAGACUCCACCGGGAGGCAGCAGUGGGGAGUAUUGGACAAUGGGCGAAAGCCUGUUCCGGCCAUGCCACGUGUGUGAAGAAGGUCUUCGGAUGGUAAAGCACUUUAAGUUGGGAAGCGUUACCAACAGAAUAAGCACCGGCUAACUUCGUGCCAGCAGCCGCGGUAAUUC
rnacentral:rRNA from 1 species